rnacentral:lncRNA from 1 species
CAGCAUGGUAGCAGAACAAGGUCGGAGAAGAUUGUCAGCCACCCAGAAGUUUCCAGUGCCUGUAAUUUUGAUUUCGAUGACAAUGAAUCAGAUGGGGCUGAUGUUGCUGCUUUUGAGUAUGCAGAUUCCGCAGCUAUAGUUGAAGACUUACCUCUGGGGAUUCAAACUCAGGAAGGAAAUUCUGGACAGAAUACAGAUGAUUUCAGUGGACCCAGAAGAAUUUCAAGGGCAUAUUCUGUUCCUGAGCAUGAUGGAUUUGGAAGGGGGUUUGAUGAUUUUGAUGAUGAAGAUGAUAUUGACAGUUAUGAACUAGAUACCCAAAAUGAUAAACCUGCACGGAAGGCUUCUCAAAACAAUUUUUCUGACCAAGGGAUUUCUGAUUUGGAAGGAGAUGGAGGUUCUGAUUACAACUUGGGCAUACGACUCAGGACAAGUCCUUCUGUUAAGCCAUCAAAGCCCAAGCAUCACAGAAGAGCUUUCUCUGGCUCUGAUGACGAACUGGAUAUCGAUUCAGAUGAAGAGCGCUCUGUUCAUCCAAAAUGGAAAUCCAGUCAUGUCGCUGAUAUUAGAAACAAAAAUAGAGGUGGAGUUCCAACAGGUCCUUCCAAGGGAUUAAGUUUUGGGUCAGAUGAAGAACUUGAGCUUGAUUCUGAUGUGGAUGAUGAUUCUGGCUCCAGCCAUAGGAGACAGGGUAGAAAGGGUUCAGGUAGAAGGAAUUUUGAGAGAAAUUCUGAUUUGGAUGAUGCUUCCUUUUCUGGUUCAGAAUCUGAUAACAAUCAUCGACGUUCUUGGAGAAAUAGAAGUGGAGGUAACAAAUUGGAAUCUGGUAGAAGAGGUAACCAUUUUAGGGGUCGUGAUCAUGACUUUGUGAGAAACAAUGAGAUGAGAUCCAAGGGUAAGAUGGGUGAUAGAAGAAAGUCUUGGGGUGAUGAUUUUGGUAGAUCGUCACCUGGUGCCCAUGGUAAAAAUAGUGGAUUUCAAGGCACUGACUGUUCUGGGUGGAAAAUGAAUGGUGCAGGUGGUGAUUCACGGAAUUUUAAUGGACCAAAACAAGAAGGAUUUAGAAAACAGCAAGGAGGAAGAUCGAAUGAAUGCAAUACGGGCAUGGAUCCUGGUGAAUUUAGAAAUAGCCGACGUGUUAUUGAAAGGUAAAUCUGAGUUAAAGAUGAAAAAGCAUGUGUCGCAUCUCAACAUGCUUAGUUUCGCUGCUGAAUAGCUUGCAGCUAGGUAAAUGUGAGUUAAUUAGUUUUGCUGCUAAUAGCUUGCAGUUCUGAAACCAAGUGGUCAUGUUGAUUACCUGGGGGAGGCUGUGGCUGAAAGAGAGUUGCGGAAAAUGUGAGCAUCUUCAAAUGUGCUAGUGCUGCUUUCUUUUGUAUUCGCUGACUGCCACUAGCUCCUCUACCCUCAUGGAUAAUGCCAUGAAUGCUGCUUUAGCCUGUAAGUGAGAUUUGGCGGGUCACCUGCUAUUAGAUAUUUUAUUAGGCUGAGAGCUGUUGGUAAUAAAGAGGGAAAAAGGAGAAGAAAACUAUUGACUUGCAUAGUUCUAUACUUCUUAGCAUAUGAUUCAUUUUAUUUUUUAAUUUAUCUCAGUUGUAUAUAUUACUAAUUUCGAUAUUGUUGUAUUUGUACUAAACAAUAAAUUGUAUCUCGAAUUUUUCUCAAACAACUUACAGAUCCAUUUUUCCUUUCAUAUGUGUGCAUAAUAUUUAUGGUGGAAUUAAAGCCUCUCUUUGUUACCUUUUGUGGGUGAUGGUGCCGGCUUUUUGACUAGUCUUGCAUGGUUUGUCAUGCAUUAUGUGUCGGGGAGUCUUUUGUAGAAACCAGAUGGUUUGAACUUUGAAGUGAACGAUAAGAGUAUCGAUUGUCCAAAAACACUUUGGAACAGUCUCAUCUGUAAGAGCUUAAAGAUCAAAAUAGUGAGGGAAAUUCAACGCAGAAACAAAUCACUACCAAAGACAGACAAAAGGUUCAAAAAACAAUUAAAUGUUUUUCUCUUGCUUGACCCGACGUCGAGCGCACAAGGCUACCAUCUUCUUUUUUUAUUAGUUACUCGUUUAUAUU